GAGUUUGAUCCUGGCUCAGAGCGAACGCUGGCGGCACGCUUUACACAUGCAAGUCGAGCGAGAAAGCGGCUUCGGUCGCAAGUAUAGCGGCGGACGGGUGCGUAUAACGUGGAUAACCUGCCUUAAGGACCGGGACAACCUUGGGAAACCAAGGCUAAUACCGGAUAUGACCACGAUGUCUGAGGGCAACGGGGUAAAAGAUGACCGUUUACGGUUGUCGCCUUUUGAGGGGUCCACGUCCUAUCAGGUAGUUGGUGGGGUAAAGGCCUACCAAGCCAAAGACGGGUAGCCGGCCUUAGCGGGUGAUCGGCCACACGGGGACUGAGACACGGCCCGACUCCUACGGGAGGCAGCAGUGGGGAAUAUUGGGCAAUGGGCGAAAGCCUGACCCAGCGAUGCCGCGUGAGGGAAGAAGGCCUUCGGGUUGUAAACCUAUGUCAAGAGGGAAGAAGGGUCUGCAAAUUAACCUUGCGGGCUUGACUGUACCUCCAGAGGAAGCCCCGGCUAACUCCGUGCCAGCAGCCGCGGUAAUACGGACGGGGGGCAAGCGUUGCUCGGAAUUACUGGGCGUAACGAGUCCGAAGGUGGACUGCAGUNGAUGUGAAGCCGAGCUUAAUCCGGAUUGCUCCAA
rnacentral:rRNA from 1 species